rnacentral:lncRNA from 1 species
CCAGACCCAGCAACAUGGUGAGGGGAGCCCUGGAGGGCUAAGUCAUCUGGUAAGAUGGGCUGAGAGGGCAGUGUCCUCUGCAUAAGAAGCGACACAAAUGCCCCAGGUCUAAAGGGAAUCAGAACACUUAGGUGACAGACGCCAAAAACUACAACUCAAGAGAACAAAGGAAUGUCCCUGAGUUAGGCUCCAAGCUAACUCAAGACAUAAAGAAACACUUCUUCACUGUCAAAUGCAAGGGCUGAAACCCUGACGAACUUUCAUGCUGGGAAGAGCUGGGAACUUUUGGGAACAGACUUUCUUAUUCUGGGAAGGCCAGGAUAAGAGAGCUAACCAUUCAUCCCGGCCGCACACGAGUGCUUCACAAUGUCACUGAAUGUGGACUACAGCAUGAGGCUCAACCUGAGACCCCUGGCUACGCACUGGGACCUGCGAGCCCCCAGAAGAGGCCUGCCAUUGGCA